AGAGUUUGAUCAUGGCUCAGGACGAACGCUGGCGGCGUGGAUUAGGCAUGCAAGUCGCGCGACGGACCUUCGGGUUACGGAGCGGCGAACGGGUGAGUAACACGUGAACAAUCUGUCCCCACAUUCCGGAUAAUUGGCCGAAAGGCCUUGUAAUACGGGGGAGGAUGGUGGUGAGGCAUCUCACUAUCAGGGAAGGUGCAACGCAAGUUGUGCCGUGCAGGGAGGGGUUCGCGGCCUAUCAGUUAGUUGGUGGGGUAACGGCCUACCAAGACGACGACGGGUAGCUGGUCUGAGAGGAUGGUCAGCCACAUUGGAACUGAGACACUGUCCAGACUCCUACGGGAGGCUGCAGUCGAGAAUCUUGGGCAAUGCACGAAAGUGUGACCCAGCGACGCCGCGUGGAGGAUGAAGGCCCUUGGGUUGUAAACUCCUUUUAUGGAAGAAGAACGUCCCUUCGGGGACUUGACGGUACUCCAUGAAUAAGCCACGGCUAACUACGUGCCAGCAGCCGCGGUAAUACGUAGGUGGCAAGCGUUGUCCGGAUUUACUGGGCGUAAAGCGUGUGUAGGCGGACCUUUAAGUAGAAAGUGAAAGGUAGGAGCUCAACUCCUACAUUGCUUUCUAUACUGGAGGUCUUGAGUGUCGGAGAGGAAGAUGGAACUGCACGUGUAGCGGUGAAAUGCGUUGAGAUGUGCAGGAACACCAAUGGCGAAGGCAAUCUUCUGGACGAAAACUGACGCUGAGACACGAAAGCCAAGGUAGCAAACAGGAUUAGAUACCCUAGUAGUCC
rnacentral:rRNA from 1 species